rnacentral:rRNA from 1 species
AAUUGGAGGGCAAGUCUGGUGCCAGCAGCCGCGGUAAUUCCAGCUCCAAUAGCGUAUAUUAAAGUUGUUGCAGUUAAAAAGCUCGUAGUUGAAUUUCGGGGUCAGUAGAUUGGUCGUGCCACUGGUAUGUACUGGUCUUACUGGCUCCUCCUUCCUGACGAACCGUAAUGCCAUUAAUUUGGUGUUGCGGGGAGACUGGACUGUUACUUUGAAAAAAUUAGGGUGUUUAAAGCAGGCUAACGCUUGAAUACAUUAGCAUGGAAUAAUGAAAUAGGACGUUCGAUCUUAUUUUGUUGGUUUCUAAGAUUGACGUAAUGAUUAAUAGGGAUAGUUGGGGGCAUUAGUAUUCAAUUGUCAGAGGUGAAAUUCUUGGAUUUAUUGAAGACUAACUACUGCGAAAGCAUUUGCCAAGGAUGUUUUCAUUAAUCAAGAACGAAAGUUAGGGGAUCGAAGACGAUCAGAUACCGUCGUAGUCUUAACCAUAAACUAUGCCGACUGGGGAUCGGAUGAUGUUAAUUUUUUAAUGACUCAUUCGGCGCCUUACGGGAAACCAAAGUGU